AGCGAACGCUGGCGGCAGGCUUAACACAUGCAAGUCGAGCGGGCAUCCUUGUGGUGUCAGCGGCAGACGGGUGAGUAACGCGUGGGAACGUGCCCUUCGGUUCGGAAUAACUCAGGGAAACUUGAGCUAAUACCGGAUACGUGCGAGAGCAGAAAGGUUUAUCUGCCGAAGGAUCGGCCCGCGUCUGAUUAGCUAGUUGGUGAGGUUACGGCUCACCAAGGCGACGAUCAGUAGCUGGUCUGAGAGGAUGAUCAGCCACACUGGGACUGAGACACGGCCCAGACUCCUACGGGAGGCAGCAGUGGGGAAUAUUGGACAAUGGGGGCAACCCUGAUCCAGCCAUGCCGCGUGAGUGAUGACGGCCUUAGGGCUGUAAAGCUCUUUUCUCCGGGACGAUAAUGACGGUACCGGAGGAAUAAGCCCCGGCUAACUUCGUG
rnacentral:rRNA from 1 species